rnacentral:tRNA from 1 species
GCCCGGGUGGCUCAGUUGGUUGAGCACCUGACUACGGCUCAGGUCCCUAUCUCCCUGUUCGUGAGUUCGAGCUCUGCAUCGGGCU